UACGGGGGGGGUAAGCGUUGUUCGGAAUUACUGGGCGUAAAGGGCUCGUAGGCGGCCAACUAAGUCAGACGUGAAAUCCCUCAGCUUAACUGGGGAACUGCGUCUGAUACUGGAUGGCUUGGAUUCGGGAGAGGAAUGCGGAAUUCCAGGUGUAGCGGUGAAAUGCGUAGAUAUCUGGAGGAACACCGGUGGCGAAGGCGGCAUCCUGGACCGAUAUUGACGCUGAGGAGCGAAAGCCAGGGGAGCAAACGGG
rnacentral:rRNA from 1 species